rnacentral:rRNA from 1 species
UGGGGAAUAUUGCACAAUGGGCGCAAGCCUGAUCCAGCCAUACCGCGUGGGUGAAGAAGGCCUUCGGGUUGUAAAGCCCUUUUGUUGGGAAAGAAAUCCAGCUGGUUAAUACCCGGUUGGGAUGACGGUACCCAAAGAAUAAGCACCGGCUAACUUCGUGCCAGCAGCCGCGGUAAUACGAAGGGUGCAAGCGUUACUCGGAAUUACUGGGCGUAAAGCGUGCGUAGGUGGUCGUUUAAGUCCGUUGUGAAAGCCCUGGGCUCAACCUGGGAACUGCAGUGGAUACUGGACGACUAGAGUGUGGUAGAGGGUAGCGGAAUUCCUGGUGUAGCAGUGAAAUGCGUAGAGAUCAGGAGGAACAUCCAUGGCGAAGGCAGCUACCUGGACCAACACUGACACUGAGGCACGAAAGCGUGGGGAGCAAACAGGAUUAGAUACCCUGGUAGUCCACGCUGUAAACGAUGUCGAUUUGGAGGUUGUGCCCUUGAGGCGUGGCUUCCGGAGCUAACGCGUUAAAUCGACCGCCUGGGGAGUACGGCCGCAAGGUUA